rnacentral:lncRNA from 9 species
GGGAAAGAGGCCAGGGUAGGGUGGAGGAGAGCAGUGAGAGCAGCUGCCUCUUCAACAUGGAAGGCUCCUCCCGCUGCUGCUGUUCGCCCAGGAGACAGGUGCCCAUGGAGGAAUGAAAGGCAGGGAAGAGAAGGAAGGUGCCAGUUCCCUGGGGUCCUGUGUCUGCCAGCUACUGUUAAGUGCCUCUGAGAAACUCUGCUUUCAUCUAACGGGGACCACCUAUCCUGGGAACCUCAGUACAUGGGACCAGAACCCCCUGGGUGGACUCUUUGGCAAGAUGAAUUGGACCAAUGAGACCACCACCUCCAUGAAGCCAGGGGCUGACCCUAAAGGACUCAGUGGCUUAGGACCAACAGCCACCGUUCUUUCUGGCUCCAUCGGUGUCAUAGCCCUCAUCUUGCUCCUGAUGGGGCUCAUGUCCAUGCCACUGAAGAAAUGGAGGCACGAGAGUGAGUUGAAGGGGCUGGGCAUGAGGAAGGGAAGAAACCGGGUGACUUUCCUAUGGGGCAGCCUUGGGGGAGGGGGGUAGGUUGUAGGGUCUGUUCUCUGGAGUUGCCAGGGAUUCAGCGCAAAGCAACAAGAUAUAUAUAUACAUUUUUUUUUUUUUAUGGCCGCAUCUCUGUGGUAUAUGGAAGUUCCUGGGCCAGGGAUUGAAUCUGAGACACAGUUUCUGCAGCACUUGAACCCUUUAACUCACUGCGCCAGGCUGGGGAUCAAAUCUACACCUCUGCAGUGACCAAGCCAAUGCAGUCAGAUCCUUAACCCACUGUGCCAUAGUGGAAACUCUGCAACAAGAUUUAUUUAUGAUCCAAAUUCUUUAUGCUAAAAGCCACGUAUCAGCCAUCUGCAAAGAUGGUUUAUACGCUUCAACAAAAGAAAUAUUGAUGCCAAAUAAUCUAAAUACUGAGCAAAAUUAUAAAGUACACGACAGUGCUCACGCCCCCUGCCUCUUCCUGGGCACUUAGCUCAGUCUCAAAGGCCCAGUGGAUUGAACGUGGUAGAUUUUACAUUCUGUAGUUCGAAGCUAAGUUCGGCAGCUGGCCAGACAAAGACGGUUACUACCCUGACUCAGGCUGACUCUGAAUUUAUUAAUUUUUCUAGGACUAUUUAAGAAACAACUGAAGCAUCAGAUGAACUAUCUCCACAAAUCCUCGGUAAGGAAAUAGUAGCCUCAUACUAUCCCUGUCAUCACUGCAAGUUUUCAUGUAGUUGCUAGAUAGACCCUCAUACAGAGGGUGGUGGGGGGAGACAGAGAACAGUCCUGAAAGAAAUGUUUUUGAAAAUCAAGGGAGAUCUAGGGCUUGCUCAGCAAGAACCCAGUGUUCUGCUUGCUGUCCUAUACGAACCCCAGUAGCUGGUUUUGUCUUUGGAAGUCACUGGUGCCCAAUUCUCUGCCUCUAACCUGCGUGCUGUCUCUAAAGGAGUUUUCCUGCCAUGCCGAUGCCAUAUAUUCCAACGUGAUCAACCUGGCCCCCAGGAAGGAGGAGGACUUCGCUGUCUAUGCCAACGUGCCCCCUUUCAAUCGCCCCAGAAGGACAUCCCCAGACCAAGUGGAAUAUGCCUCCAUUGUGUUCCACUGAUGGGAAGCCAACGAGAUGCUUCAGGGUGGAGAGUCAGACCUGUGCCCUAGCUGGCUCACAAUGCAGCUUUUGCUUUAGAUGUGUGUGUGUGUGUGUGUGUGUGUGUGUGUGUGUGUGUGUGUGUCUUUGAAAUGCAUUAAACUUAUUCUGAUGGAGACAAGUGGCUAAGUAUUUCUUCUCAUUUAUUGGAAGCAAAGUGCAGCUCUAAUGGAAAGGAGUGACACUUGUAAGAUAAGGGACACAAUCGUUCUGAGCCCCUUGAGCUCCAGAAAUGCUUUCCCGAGAGAGACUGGCCAAUAGCAGAGGAUCCCUUCUUAGCUUCUGCCCCUCCUGAGGAUAGGGCUGAGGAGUGGAGCUUCUGGGACCAGCUUCUGGAUUUUUUUUUCUUUCUUGUUCUUCCCAGUUAGAAAUUGAAUUAACCUUGUGCAGGUUAAUUCACGAGUCAAGCUCAUACAUGUGGAGACAGGAAACGCUAACUAUUGUGCAUGUCUUCGCAACAGCUUUGCAGGACAACACACCAAGUAUCGGGGGAGAAGGAGGCGUGGAGGAGCUGCAGCUACUUGUGAAGUGCUUCUUCCUGGGGGCGUGAAACUUGGCGGAGCUCCCGCAGAGAGUGGAGGGGAAGCAGCGCCUGGUGGAAGUGGAUACAUGUCACCACUGACCAGGGUCUGCUCCGUGUGAAUUGGAAGAGCUCUGGAACUUUGCAAAUGACUCACUCCCUCUUUCCUCCAUUUGAAAACCUUCAUUAAACACCACCAUCUUCUAGACCCAGGGAAUGCAGCAGCGAACACAACAGACAAAACCUUGUUCUCAUGGAGCUUACCUUCUAGGAGGGGGAGAAGGGCAAUGAACAAAUAAACAAGCAAAUACACAGACUGUCAGGUGGUGGCAGCCUCCUUGGUAUUUGAUCUGAAGGAAGUGAGAAAAUGAGACUUGAGGAUAAUUGGGGAAGAGCAUUUCAGGCAGAAGGAACAGCAAGUGCAAAGGCCCUGAGGUGGACGUGUACCUUACAAGGUCAAACAAUAGCAAAGAUAUGAGUGUGUCUGGAGUAUGUGAGGGGGGGACAGGAUGGUAGAUGAGGUCUGGGCAGCCAAUCAGCACCUGAGUUAGGGAAUCAGUGAUCUAAGGCAGUGUUCCCCACAGCAUAUUCCACAGGACGUUAGUAGAGAGCCCCAGGGUCCUUUGGGGAUGAUGCUCUGCUGUACCACCCUCUACACACCUGUUACUGGCAUCUGCUAAUCCCCACACAGUCCCCUCAUUUAUCAGGGACUCCUGGUCUCCACCCGAAUUUUGUCAUCACCCACAGUGAUUUCAGUGGCAAUGUAGACGGUCCUUCCUACCAAAGUUCCCCAAAGUGUGUUCUUCCAGUUAUGGGAGAUGUUCAUGGGUGUUGGGAUGGAGAGAGGAGAUAAGAUCAAUGACCAAAUAAGUUCCGAAAAUGAUGAAUAACUAAAUAGUAAUGGAGAAAAAGAAAUUUUCAUUUAAAAUCAAAGCUGAUGGGGAGUUCCCGUGGUGGCUCAGUGGUUAAUGAAUCGGACUAGGAACCAUGAGGUUUCGGGUUCGAUCCCUGGCCUCGCUCAGUGGGUUAAGGAUCUGGCGUGGCCGUGAGCUGUAGUGUAGGUCACAGAUGUGGUUCGGAUCCCACGUUGCUGUGGCUCUGGCAUAGGCCGGUGGCUACAGUUCUGAUUAGACCCCUAGCCUGGGAACCUCCAUAUGCCGCAGGAGCAGCCCUAGAAAAGAUAAAAAGACAAAAAUAAAAUAAAAUAAAAUAAAAUAAAAUAAAAUAAAAGCUGAUGGGAACCCCUUCUUUCUUGGAAGGAGGAUGGCAUGGCUCUCAUCAAUAAGAAAAUACAUACCCUAUGGUUCAUGCCACUUAGAGGGACUAGCGAGGGGAGGAGCAGGUAGAAAGGUGACACGAAGAUUUCUAAGCCUUGUCACCUUUUCUGUGUUGAUAAAAGGAAAGUCCAAGAGUAGACAGACCUUUAUUUUAGUGCAGAUGCAUGGCAAUCACGAGCCCUGGUUUGUUGGGAACUUUCCUAAUGUGAGCCUGUUGUCACAGUGAAAUUAUUAGGUCCCCUUUUAUUCUCCAAAGGGUCAUAGUUUGGAUGAUAAAUUAUGGGGUCACCUCUUAGCAAGGCUUUGAAAGUGCAAAAAACAAGUCCAAGACCAAUAAGAAGGGGAAAGCAAAUUAUCCAAUAAAGGAAGGAGGAUGGAGUUGGAUGGGGGUGGAGGAGGCUGCAUGAAUAAAGAGUUAGGGUCAGGAGUUCCCGUUGUGCUCAGUGGUUAACGAAUCCGACUAGGAACCAUGAGGUUGCGGGUUCCAUCCCUGGCCUUGCUCAGUGGGUUAAGGAUCCGGCGUUGCCAUGAGCUGUGGUGUAGGUCGAAGACGCGUUGCUGUGGCUCUGGUGUAGGCUGGUAGCUACAGCUCUGAUUUGACCCCUAGCCAGGGAACCUCCAUAAAGGCAAAAAAGACAAUAAAUAAAUAAAUAAAUAAAGAGGGUGAGAAUGAGGAAAGUUUUGAGGGAAAGGGGUGCUAGUAGUCACAUAAAAAUCUUCCACCACUGCAAACCUCAGCAAAGCCCACAGAACACACCAAUGCCUGGCGUGGGUAUUUUGGGGAAGGAGACAUUAUGAAAGGGGGCUGAAAUCCACAUCUUGGUCAGCAUAAGAGCAGACACAGAGGGAAGUGGUAAGAGGUGCAAUAUGAAUGAGUUGGACAAUUCAGGGGGAGGCUGAACACAGAGCUGGAAGUGAA